rnacentral:tRNA from 1 species
GGAGAGAUGGCCGAGCAGGUUAAGGUCUAGCAUUGGAACUGCUAUGUAAACUUUUGUUUACCGAGGGUUCGAAUCCCUCUCUUUCCG